AUUGAACGCUGGCGGCAUGCCUUACGCAUGCAAGUCGAACGGUAACAGGUCUUCGGAUGCUGACGAGUGGCGAACGGGUGAGUAAUACAUCGGAACGUGCCUAGUAGUGGGGGAUAACUACUCGGAAGAGUGGCUAAUACCGCAUGAGAUCUACGGAUGAAAGCAGGGGAUCGCAAGACAUUGUGCUACUAAAGCGGCCGAUGUCAGAUUAGGUAGUUGGUGGGAUAAAAGCUUACCAAGCCGACGAUCUGUAGCUGGUCUGAGAGGACGAUCAGCCACACUGGGACUGAGACACGGCCCAGACUCCCACGGGAGGCAGCAGUGGGGAAUUUUGGACAAUGGGCGAAAGCCUGAUCCAGCAAUGCCGCGUGCAGGAUGAAGGCCUUCGGGUUGUAAACUGCUUUUGUACGGAACGAAAAGCCCCGGGUUAAUACCCUGGGGUCAUGACGGUACCGUAAGAAUAAGCACCGGCUAACUACGUGCCAGCCGCCGCCGUAA
rnacentral:rRNA from 1 species